rnacentral:lncRNA from 1 species
GGUCAAAGAAGAAAGCAACACUAAAGUCCAGUCGAAAUCAGAUUAUUUUGAUGCAGCAAAAAAUAUACGUUUGGUUCCGAAAUUUUGUGAAAAAACAGUCGAUAAAUAUUUUCCACAGUUUGAGAAAAUUGCUAAUAAUUUGAAAUGGCCAAAGCCAUAUUGGACUACAAUGCUACAAAGUGUUUUUGAGGGUAAGGCCGCUGAAAUAUACUCCGCACUUCCAUCAGAAAAAAGUUCCGAUUAUGACACGGUGAAACAGGAAGUUUUGAAAGCUUAUGAGCUAGUACCAGA